rnacentral:tmRNA from 1 species
GGGGGCGACAUGGCUUCGACGUGGAUUACAAAACCGGCGGUGCAUGCCGAGGCGACAGCGCAGCCUCGUAAACUAUCCAGCUGUACAGUUAUAGUUGCAAACGACGAUAACUACGCUCUAGCUGCUUAAACCAGCUAGCAUCUGACUGGCUCGUGCCUGGACGGUCAACUCAGGUGUAAUCUAAACAGGAUCGCGGUGCGGUACGUCUUAGGCCAAGUCGCUAAACCUUAAACUCAGACUCGCAAUUUGAAAUCCUGUUCGUCGGAGUUCAAGGCGCUAAAUUAAAAGACGAAACUAAGCAUGUAGUACCAAUGGCAGAGGGUUUGCGGACGCGGGUUCGAUUCCCGCCGCCUCCACCA